rnacentral:lncRNA from 1 species
ACUUCAAUCUUGAAAAUGACCUAGAAUGGAAUUGAUAAUUCUGAUUCUUUUAUUCCAUUCCAGAAUUCACACAGUAUUAUUCAUCUCAAGGGACAAGAAUGCUAAUGCCACUUCCCUUCACACGAACAGAAAAGAAUACAUUACAGGAGUCAGCCACCAUGUUGGGUGAAACUAGAGAGAUGAACUUGUUGCCAGAAAGCUAACCAAGUGAUGAGCUACUUCAUUACGCACAGUAAUACAAAGUUGAAGCACAUUUGGGUAGGACCAAGAAGGAAGUUGAAUGAAUGGAACACUGAAGAGAAAACUACCCUGUGGGAACAAAGAUAAGGAGCUUUGAAAAUGAAGAAGACUCCAUGUUAGAAUAUGGAUGAGUGCCAUCGUUAGAGUGAUUAUUGAAAGUCACUAAGGGUGAUAAUUAGCAAAUGUUUUCUGGCUAAAUCACAGAAUAUGAUUCCAAUCCUUUGC